UGGGGGGGUUCAACCCCUCAAUGUCACUUUUUGGGGGCGUUCGAACCCUCAAUGUCACUUUUUGGGGGGGUUCGAACCCUCAAUGUCACUUUUUGGGGGGGUUUGAACCCCUCAAUGUCACUUUUUGGGGGCGUUCGAACCCUCAAUGUCACUUUUUGGGGGGGGUUCGAACCCUCAAUGUCACUUUUUGGGGGGAUUCAGCCCCUCAAUGUCACUUUUUGGGGGGGUUCAGCCCCUCAAUGUCACUUUUUGGGGGGGGUUCGAACCCUCAAUGUCACUUUUUGGGGGGUUCAGCCCCACAAUGUCACUUUUUGGGGGGGUUUAACCUUUCAAUGUCACUUUUUGGGGGGGUUGAACCUUUCAAUGUCAUUUUUUGGGGGGGUUCAACCCCUCAAUGUCACUUUUUGGGGGGGUUCGAACCCUCAAUGUCACUUUUUGGGGGGGUUGAAACCCUCAGUGUCACAUUUUCGACCGUUUCAACUCAAUAUUGUCGCUUUUUUGGGGGGUUCAGCCCCUCAAUGUCACUUUCUGGGGGGGUUUGUACCCUCAAUGUCACUUUCGGGGGGGGGUUCAGCCCCUCAAUGUCACUUUUUGGGGGGGGUUGAACCCUCAAUGUCACUUUUUGGACCAUUUCAACUCAAUACUGUUACUUUUUGGGGGGGUUCGAACCCUCAAUGUCACAUUUUGGGGGGAUUCAGCCCCUCAAUGUCACUUUUUUGGGGGUAUUUAAACCCUUCAAUGUCACUUUUUGGGGUGGUUCAACACCUCAAUGUCACUUUUGGGGGGAGUUAAACCCUCAAUGUCACAUUUUGGGGGAGUUCAACCCCACGGUGUCACAUUUUGGACACUUUCAGCUCAAUAUUGUCACAUUUUAGGGCAGUUUUACCCCCCCCAAUAUCACAUUUUGGGGGGGUUUCAGCCCACCCUUCAGUGUCCCAUUUUUGGGGGGUCCAACCCCACAAACCCCAAUUUAGGAUCCUUUCACCCAACCCUCCAAGUCCCACUUUGUGCUGCCCCAACCCUCUAAUUCCACAUAAUUUGGGGUGGAACAGACUCCUCAACCCCCCCAAAAAUCCCAUUUUUGUUGGAAUUCCACCCCCACAAGGUCCCAUUUGAGGGGAUUUCAUCCCCCCCUGCCAGCUCCCGUUUUUGGGGGGCUCAUCCCCCCCAUGUCACACUCUGGCCCUGCACCUGUCCCUCUCCCUCGCUGGCCCCAUCACCAAAAAUAACUUUUUGGCCGGCUCUUCCUUUUCCUAAAUUAGUCAUGAGGCAGGUGGAAAUGUCACCCUGCCGCCAUCCCGCGAGCCACAGAGGAAAUCAUCAAGUCGGGACUUUUUCCUUCUUUAUUCCCCAAUUCCCGCUCUAAAAAAAUCUGAUUAUUUAAAACUCAUCCAGUGAAGGAAUUUUUCUCUAAACUCUAAAAAAAAAGGGGGAUUAAAUUUUAAUUCUUUUAAUUUUUUUUCCUUUUCAGUCAAGCUGUUCAGAGGAAGGAAUGAGGAGUGAAUCGUCCCGGAAUGUCUCUUUACAAGGAAUUUUUGGAACAGUUUAUUUUUUGUAAAUAGACACAAAUUCCUGAACUAUUAUCUCUGCAGAGCCUCCUCCUCCUCCCCAGCUAACUCCCAGAAAAUGAGGCUUUUUAAGGCCUGAAGAAGUUUGUGGUCUCAAACCUCCUUUGUCUCAGCUCAGCUGUGUCCGUUGAGCUAAAAUAAAAAUAAAAAUAAAA